rnacentral:rRNA from 1 species
AUUGAACGCUGGCGGCAGGCCUAAUACAUGCAAGUCGAACGAGUGGCGGACGGGUGAGCAAUGUCUGGGAAACUGCCCGACGGAGGGGGAUAACUACUGGAAAAGGUAGCUAAUACCGCAUACCAUCGGAUGUGCCCAGAUGGGAUUAGCUAGUGGGUGGGGUAACGGCUCACCUAGGCGACGAUCCCUAGCUGGUCUGAGAGGGUGACCGGCCACACUGGAACUGAGACACGGUCCAGACUCCUACGGGAGGCAGCAGUGGGGAAUAUUGGACAAUGGGCGAAAGCCUGAUGCAGCCAUGCCGCGUGGAUGAAGAAGGCCUUCGGGUUGUAAAGUACUUUCGGCGAGGAGGCGUUACUCACAGAAGAAGCACCGGCUAACUCCGUGCCAGCAGCCGCGGUAAUAC